rnacentral:rRNA from 1 species
AAGGUGGGUAUGUUAAUAGCUAUAUUCAUUUGACGUUAGCUGCAGAAGAAGCACCGGCUAACUCCGUGCCAGCAGCCGCGGUAAUACGGAGGGUGCGAGCGUUAAUCGGAAUUACUGGGCGUAAAGCGCAUGCAGGUGGUUUGUUAAGUCAGAUGUGAAAGCCCGGGGCUCAACCUCGGAAUUGCAUUGAAACUGGCAAACUAGAGUACUGUAGAGGGGGUAGAAUUUCAGGUGUAGCGGUGAAAAUGCGUAGAGAUCUGAAGGAAUACCGGUGGCGAAGGCGGCCCCCUGGACAGAUACUGACACUCAGAUGCGAAAGCGUGGGGAGCAAACAGGAUUAGAUACCCUGGUAG